rnacentral:rRNA from 1 species
UACGAAGGGUGCUAGCGUUGUUCGGAAUUACUGGGCGUAAAGGGCGUGUAGGCGGCCUUAUAAGUCAGAUGUGAAAGCCCCGAGCUUAACUUGGGAAUUGCAUUUGAGACUGUAGGGCUAGAGUGCGAGAGAGGAAAGUGGAAUUACGAGUGUAGAGGUGAAAUUCGUAGAUAUUCGUAAGAACACCAGUGGCGAAGGCGACUUUCUGGCUCGCAACUGACGCUAAGGCGCGAAAGCGUGGGGAGCAAACAGG